GUGGGGAGAUGAUGAGAACUUAUUCCAGAGAUGGUUUCUGAGGGUAGAUGUAAUCUACCUCUGGUUACACCUUGCACGUCAGUCUGAUCCCAUA